CGGAUAAUCUCUGGACUGAUUGUCCAAGGUAUGAUACUGUCACGCUCCGAGGUCCUUUUUUGGUUUAAAGUCAUUGCGGAAGUGCCGAAAUUUUUUUUUUUGAAAACCUGACACCCAGGGUAUGCCAGAUCCGCCACAAAUACAGAAAAUUCACUGUUCACACGGACAAAGUCUUCCCUGUAUUUGCACGGCGUCCCACAGGUAGAAGAUACGAGAUUCACAAUACAGGAUACAACCACACAAAUUAACAUUCACAUAUUCAUACAUCAUUCACAUUCACAAUUACAUUCAAAAUGGGUAAAUUGCACUAUUACCUCCUGAACUUUUGACGAAGUUUCACUUUACCCCUCGAACUCCUAAAAUGGACAUCUAACCCCCCUAAACUCUAAUAUUUCAUUCAUAUUACCCCUUCCGUCAGUUUUUCGUCAAGCUCCGUUAGCUGAAAACUGACGGAAAGGGUAAAAUGAAUGAAAUAUUAGAGUUUAGGGUGUUAGAUGUCUAUUUUAGGAGUUUAGGGGGUUAAGUGAAUGUAUAGGUUGUGAGAUGCUUUUGGAGAGUUGUGGAUGAACAUGUAUUUAUGUUUUGGAAGAUACAAAUGUAAAUCGAUUGUAUAAACGAUUAAAUGUGAUGUAAUAGAUAGAAUCUCUCUUUU
rnacentral:lncRNA from 1 species